CCUACGGGAGGCAGCAGUGGGCGAUAUUGCACAAUGGGGGAAACCCUGAUGCAGCGACGCCGCGUGGGUGAAGAAGCGCCUCGGCGCGUAAAGCCCUGUCAGCAGGGAAGAAAAUGACGGUACCUGAAGAAGAAGCCCCGGCUAACUACGUGCCAGCAGCCGCGGUAAUACGUAGGGGGCAAGCGUUAUCCGGAUUUCCUGGGUGUAAAGGGGGCGCAGACGGCGAUGCAAGCCAGGAGUGAAAGCCCGGGGCCCAACCCCGGGACUGCUCUUGGAACUGCGUGGCUAGAGUGCAGGAGGGGCAGGCGGAAUUCCUGGUGUAGCGGUGAAAUGCGUAGAUAUCAGGAGGAACACCGGUGGCGAAGGCGGCCUGCUGGACUGCAACUGACGUUGAGGCCCGAAAGCGUGGGGAGCAAACAGGAUUAGAUACCCCAGUAGUC
rnacentral:rRNA from 1 species